CCUACGGGGGGCAGCAGUGAGGAAUAUUGGUCAAUGGCCGUAAGGCUGAACCAGCCAAGUCGCGUGAAGGAAGAAGGAUCUAUGGUUUGUAAACUUCUUUUAUAGGGGAAUAAAGGUAUCCACGUGUGGAUAUUUGCAUGUACCCUAUGAAUAAGCAUCGGCUAACUCCGUGCCAGCAGCCGCGGUAAUACGGAGGAUGCGAGCGUUAUCCGGAUUUAUUGGGUUUAAAGGGUGCGUAGGUUGUUUUUUAAGUCAGCGGUGAAAGUUUGUGGCUCAACCAUAAAAUUGCCGUUGAAACUGGGAGACGUGAGUGUGAGUGAAGUAGGCGGAAUGCGUGGUGUAGCGGUGAAAUGCAUAGAUAUCACGCAGAACUCCGAUUGCGAAGGAAGCUUACUGGGGCAAAACUGACACUGAAGCACGAAAGCGUGGGGAUCGAACAGGAUUAGAGACCCGGGUAGUC
rnacentral:rRNA from 1 species